GGCGACUGGAACACAACAUGGCGGCCUGAGGGGAGCGUCGGGAGCGGGGCCGGGUCGGGCCCGGCCGCUCAUCCGCCAGCCCCGGCAGCUGCGGGACGGCGCGGGAGGCACAGUAAGAGGUCUUCAUUUUUGACUACAGCAAAUUCAGCAUGUGUUUGAAGUCGUUUGUUUUGGUGGCUUCUUUUGUUGCCUUGUCACUCUCAGGAUGUGAUCACAUCACGAUCAGGAUGGUGCUGAAGUGGAUUUUUAAGAAUCUCCAGAAGUCUUGGCUUGUGAAUGCAAAAUUAAAAUUUGUUAGUACACCUGAAGUCUAAACUUUAUUUCUUCUUAUUCUAUAUAAAUCUCUAUGCUGUUGUUCUUACAGUGUCUGAUUUAUUUCAGCUGCUGGUUAAACAAUAACUGAUUUGUCAUGUGAUCAUGAUCAUUUUGUCCCUAGGAGAAAACCUCUCUUAUUUUAGUGACCUGUUUUGUUCAGAGUUUACACAUUGACCUUAUUCAUCAAAGAAACAUUUCAAAUAAUGCAAUUUUUAUUCCUGAUUCCACCCUUUAUUCAGUAAGCUGAAAUUAUUCAGGCCUUUGCUUCAUUCUUUUAACUGGGUGGAUCUCAUAAGUGCAAGGUUAAAGGCUCAGUUGUUGCUUAUGUGUGGGGUAUUUAUUUUGUC